AGAGGGAUUGCUGGAUCAUAUGGUGAGGGUAUGUUUAACUUUAUUAGAAAUGACCAAUUGUUUUCCAAAGUGGUUGUACCAUUUUGCAUUUCCACCAGCAAU
rnacentral:pre_miRNA from 1 species